rnacentral:ncRNA from 1 species
AUUAAAUAGAGUUUGAUCCUGGCUCAGAAUAAAUGCUAUUGGUAUGCUUAACACAUGCAAGUUGAAUGUUUAAUUUUUAAACAUAGCGAACGGGUGAGUAACGCGUGAAUUAUCUACCUUUUAAUUCAGGAUAAUUAUUUUAUAUAAAAAUACUGAAUAAUUUUAAUAAAGUUUUAAUAACGUUAAAAGAUGAGUUUGCGUAAGAUUAGGUAGUUGGUAGUUUAAAAGACUACCAAGCCGACUAUCUUUAGCUGGUUUGAAAGAAUGAUCAGCCACAUUGGGACUGAGACACGGCCCAAACUUUUUUAAAGGCAGCAGUGGGGAAUUUUGGACAAUGAGCGAAAGCUUGAUCCAGCAAUACCAAGUGAGUGAAGAAGGCUAAUUAG